CCCUUAGAUGUUCUGGGCAGCACGCGCGCUACAAUGGGCUUCGCAAACGGAUGCAUUCUCGAAGGAGAAUGCCAAUCUUGGAAUCUAUGCCUUGGUCGGGACAGUUGCUUGCAAUUUUUCGACUCGAACCAGGAAUUCCUUGUAAUCGUGAUUCAUCACAUCACGAUGAAUACGUCCCUGCCCUUUGUACACACCGCCCGUCGCUCCUACCGAUCGAAGAGUUAGGUGAAUUGUUUUGAUCGAUAAGAUUUGACUAUGGUCAACUCUCGUUGUGAAAUUCUGUGAAUCUGACUGUUUAGAGGAAGGAAAAGUCGUAACA
rnacentral:rRNA from 1 species